UACGGAGGGUGCAAGCGUUAUCCGGCAUCACUGGGUUUAAAGGGUGCGUAGGCGGUUUGAUAAGUCAGUUGUGAAAUUCACCGGCUUAACCGGUAGGACUGCGAUUGAUACUGUUGGACUUGAAUCAGGUUGAGGUAGGCGGAAUGUGACAUGUAGCGGUGAAAUGCAUAGAUAUGUCAUAGAACACCGAUUGCGAAGGCAGCUUGCUGGGCCUUGAUUGACGCUGAGGCACGAAAGCGUGGGGAGCAAACAGG
rnacentral:rRNA from 1 species